UUGAAUCUCCUGAUUGGGGCCUCCCUGGAUGUAUGAAUAUGAUUUAUAUAGUAAGGUAAAGACGCCUGUGACCACUCUGAUAAGAAGAACCAGGCUGGGGACGGUUGGUUUGUGCUUCUUCUGAAGCCUUUUUUUUUUAUUUUUCUCAAACUGAAAUGUGUUUUCACGUUUUAAAUAUUUCUGUCGCUGUUUAGAUUAAAAAACAAACAAACAAACAAAAAAACAGCAGUCCACGUUCCCAGCUCCAAUCAGCUGGUAUUUCUCACGAUGACAUGCUGGAGGAGCUAAAUGGUACGCAGCCAUCAGGACUAAUGAGUUACACCUGAGCUCGGUGCUCAGGUACCGUCCCGCUGAUGUGCUGAAGAACAGAAAAGGGUAUUUUCAGACAGUUUUUAGACAUUACAGAUGCUUUCAGAUGCUUUCUGGAGGGUUUCCUAAAGACAGGAGAACAGCUAAGGCACAGCAGCACAGCUCCCAGCGAGAGACGACGAUAAAGAGGAGACGGAGGGACAGGCUGGUCGGACAUAUGAACGGAGCCGCGGCGAAGCACAGCGGGACGCCCUCGGCUGGGACCGUCCUCCAGAGUCGGAACAUCUCAGGAAUGUUUUCACACCAGCGACAGGUAGAGCUGCCUUGGUCCUGUAUAUUUCCUGGAAACCCUGCACUCGUGCUUCUAAGCAAGUCUGAUCACCCACCUUGCUGUAUCGGCCUUUGCCUGUGAAACUCCAAAGGAGCUACAAUGAAGCUGGUCUGGCCCAGCGGGCUCCAGUGGUGCAACACCCUCAGUGUCCACACGCCAGGCCUCAGCGGGGAGGUGAGAGGCGGCCGGUAGUGUGUGACCUCAGCGGAGGCGUCCACCAGGAUGUCGUAGGUGGCGGCGAUGACGUUGGUUGGGUCGAUCCAGACAAUCGUAGCCGUCAGGUUGCUCUGGCUCCGGCUCCAGCGCUGCACGGCCACCGGCUCGUCCUCAGGUCCCAGGAGACGCCCCCAGUUCCUGAAGAGACGCUCCUUAGGAUCCCAGUCGGUCCCCACCUGAAGAGCGGAAAGAAAGCCUGAGCAAAGCAAAACAAUCCUGGUCAAGGAGAGAGGAAGAGGAGCUGCUUUUAUGAACCUGUUCUAGCCGGUCAUAAAACCACAACUUAACAUUUCUGCAGCUGAGAUAUUGAACUGUUGGAGUCCCAGCAUGGUACAACUGUCACAUCUACAGCUGUUUGAGGCUAUCUGUCGUGUGUGUGAGAUGCUCUUGUUCACGUCUCUGCUGUCUUUCAUUUCUCUGGGGAGUGUAAUCCUGUGAGACUGGAGAUUCACUCUAAAUUUUUAUAUUUUCACUUAUACAUUAUUCUAUUUACCUGCUUUCUAAUUUUUGAAUAUUUGCUUUUAGUCUUUGUUUUUACUUCCCUGCUGGAAUCAAUCGUUUCUUACGCUUAAAGUCAAAACAUUAAAGCAUCCUGGGACAUUUAUGUAACUGAGAAUCUAACGAGGCAUGUAAACUGAGGUGAUAAUAAACCCAAAACAGUGACUGCAGAACGAUGUCCAGGUUUAUGUUUAGUUAAGAGAGUCCUCAUAAAGACACA